GUAGGUGGCAAGCGUUGUCCGGAAUAUUGGGCGUAAAGCGCGCGCAGGGCGGUCCUUUAAGUCUGAUGUGAAAGCCCACGGCUCAACCGUGGAGGGUCAUUGGAAACUGGGGGACUUGAGUACAGAAGAGGAAAGCGGAAUUCCAAGUGUAGCGGUGAAAUGCGUAGAGAUUUGGAGGAACACCAGUGGCGAAGGCGGCUUUCUGGUCUGUAACUGACGCUGAGGCGCGAAAGCGUGGGGAGCAAACAGGAUUAGAUACCCUGGUAGUCCACGCCGUAAACGAUGAGUGCUAAGUGUUAGGGGGUUUCCGCCCCUUAGUGCUGCAGCUAACGCAUUAAGCACUCCGCCUGGGGAGUACGGCCGCAAGGCUG
rnacentral:rRNA from 1 species